AAAGGCUAUAACAGUGUCUGCUCUGCCCCAGGGGUCCGCAGGAGGGCACGGGUGGGCUCUGACCCUCCCGCAGGGUGGGGCAGGGGGUCCCCCAGCAGAAGGGACGGAGCCUCUCUCCCUGGCCGGGUUUGGCUGAGCUCCUCUGGAGGCUGCAGAGCCACAGCAGAUGCUCUGGGGCCGGCUGCUGCCCGGACCAAAAAUACCUGCAGACCACGCAGGGAAUUACACUGUUAAUGAAGGGCAACUGAGCCACAAAGCCUCACGGGGACCCUCAUCUCAAAAACUAUAUUCAUCUCUGAUGCAUGUUUUAACCCUUCAGGCAUCGAAUCCUUAUAUAAACUCAAAAUUGCUUUUUAAUGCAGUUUCCCAAAGCCUCUCCAUCAGCCAGAGGCUGCUUUGGACUAAUCUAGGAAGUGAGCCAAGUAUUAAAAAAAAUAAUGUGAGGUUGUGGAACAUCAAAAACAUAUUGACCAUAGUGUAAUUAUACUUGAAAUGGAUUAGGGGAAGUAGCUAAAACAAUCUCCACUUUGAAAAACAUUAUUUGGGAGCGUGCAAGAGGGCCUCGGGGAGGCUGCUGGCACUUCUGAGUAGGGAUGGUGAAUCUGCUUCAGAAUAUGCAAGGAAAAGGUACUUGAGUGAACACUAAAUGACAAAUGUGAUAAUAACUGUCCCAAACGUAUCACUUUCCAAAGCUCAAACAAGCUGGCAUCUACAUGAAUACCAGAAAUCAGUGAAGUAAAUGCAGGAAGAAGCAAAAUACAUGUGACAAGUCUCACUUGCAUCUGCGAAUUAAAGAACAGUUUCUGGACUUAAGAUGUAACAGCAGACAGGGAAUAAAGGAAACCUUCAGUUUGACUUGGAUACUGGUAAUAUUAAAAGCCUGAAUUUGUUGCAUUUACAAUUAAAAUAGCUUUUUAAAAAUUUUUAUUUAAUCUUAGAAAAGUUAUCUGAGCACUACAGUUCCCCAGUGGAGGAUCUUGUUUCAUGAUAUAAUAAAAGCCAGGGUCUGUGUGAGAUAGUAACAAAAUCCCUAAUUAAGAACCAGGAUACUUUAAGCUUGAACAUGAUGAGCCUCUUGAAGUAAGUAUCCAAAGCAUCUUUACAUCCAAAAUGUUAAGCUCUUGAUUAAACAAGCAGAACAUACUUCAAAAGAUAAUUAAAGAUGAGCUUCAGCGAAAAUACUGGAUUUGUAUUUGGGCCAAACUAAAGCUUAGAUGCAAACCCUCACUCCCUUUUUUGUUUUAACAUGUUCUGAUCCAAAGUGGUUGGACUCCAAGCCACUAUUACCAACCAGCUCAAGUGCUUAUUUGUUGCAGGACUGGAGUAGACCAACAUGCUCUGUGCAGCAUACCCUGGCUGAAAUUGUAGAUGCCUGAGGACAGACAAGAGAAAAAGACACCCUCCAGCAGUCUGUCCCCACAGUAACUUCCAGCAAUCUUUGUAUUUAAUAGCCUUCAAUGGAUUGUUUUCCUCAUGAAUUUACCUAAUCACUUCCUAAAUCCUGUUUCACACAGCACCAUGACAAUGAUAAUCUAAUUUUGGUCUCUAAAAGAUGUAAUACAAAAACAAUAGGAGACCCAGGAAAGAAUGAAGUAAUUUUGCCAAUAGAUAUUACAAAAGAAGGCAACGAUUCCAGUCCAGUGAUGAAGAAAAUUACUAAAACCACUCAUUACAAAACAACCCAGCACUUCCUGCUUUGAAAGAUAAUCUAUUAAGACUACUUUGCAGUUUUGAAAAAAAUAAACCCCACCCCAUGUGAAA